rnacentral:rRNA from 1 species
GGCGUGCCUAAUACAUGCAAGUCGAACGCACUGACGUCGACAGAAGGUGCUUGCACUGGAAGUUGAUUGACGUGAGUGGCGGACGGGUGAGUAACACGUGGGUAACCUGCCCUUAAGCGGGGGAUAACAUUUGGAAACAGAUGCUAAUACCGCAUAAAAGUUGAGAUCACAUGGUCUUAAUUUGAAAGACGGCCUUUGGCUGUCACUUAAGGAUGGACCCGCGGCGUAUUAGCUAGUUGGUGAGAUAAUAGCCCACCAAGGCGAUGAUACGUAGCCGACCUGAGAGGGUAAUCGGCCACAUUGGGACUGAGACACGGCCCAAACUCCUACGGGAGGCAGCAGUAGGGAAUCUUCCACAAUGGACGAAAGUCUGAUGGAGCAACGCCGCGUGAGUGAAGAAGGUUUUCGGAUCGUAAAACUCUGUUGUUGGAGAAGAACAGGGACUAGAGUAACUGUUAGUCCUUUGACGGUAUCCAACCAGAAAGCCACGGCUAACUACGUGCCAGCAGCCGCGGUAAUACGUAGGUGGCAAGCGUUGUCCGGAUUUAUUGGGCGUAAAGCGAGCGCAGGCGGUUUCUUAAGUCUGAUGUGAAAGCCUUCGGCUUAACCGAAGAAGUGCAUCAGAUACUGGGAAACUUGAGUGCAGAAGAGGAAAGUGGAACUCCAUGUGUAGCGGUGAAAUGCGUAGAUAUAUGGAAGAACACCAGUGGCGAAGGCGGCUUUCUGGUCUGUAACUGACGCUGAGGCUCGAAAGUAUGGGGAGCGAACAGGAUUAGAUACCCUGGUAGUCCAUACCGUAAACGAUGAAUGCUAAGUGUUGGAGGGUUUCCGCCCUUCAGUGCUGCAGCUAACGCAUUAAGCAUUCCGCCUGGGGAGUACGACCGCAAGGUUGAAACUCAAAGGAAUUGACGGGGGCCCGCACAAGCGGUGGAGCAUGUGGUUUAAUUCGAAGCUACGCGAGGAACCUUACCAGGUCUUGACAUCUAGCGCCAAUCCUAGAGAUAGGACGUUCCCUUCGGGGACGCUAAGACAGGUGGUGCAUGGUUGUCGUCAGCUCGUGUCGUGAGAUGUUGGGUUAAGUCCCGCAACGAGCGCAACCCUUAUGAUUAGUUGCCAGCAUUUAGUUGGGCACUCUAAUCAGACUGCCGGUGACAAACCGGAGGAAGGUGGGG